AUUGAACGCUGGCGGCAGGCCUAACACAUGCAAGUCGAGCGAGCGGCGGACGGGUGAGUAAUGUCUGGGAAACUGCCUGAUGGAGGGGGAUAACUACUGGAAACGGUAGCUAAUACCGCAUACCAUCAGAUGUGCCCAGAUGGGAUUAGCUAGUAGGUGGGGUAACGGCUCACCUAGGCGACGAUCCCUAGCUGGUCUGAGAGGAUGACCAGCCACACUGGAACUGGGACACGGUCAAGAGUCCUACGGGAGGCAGCAGUAGGGAAUAGUGAACAAUGGGCGCGAGCCUGAUGCAGCCAUGCCGCGUGUGUGAAGAAGGCCUUCGGGUUGUAAGGCGCUUUCAGCGGGAAGGCGUUACCCGCAGAAGAAGCACCGGCUAACUCCGUGCCAGCAGCCGCGGUAAUUC
rnacentral:rRNA from 1 species